rnacentral:lncRNA from 1 species
CCGUUGCUAUAACAGAGUUGAAUCGACCGGGAUUGUCAUUGCAGUCCAUGCGGUGGCACAUAAACCCGCUAUUAAGGCGAAACUUCUCAUACACACCAGGUUUUCUCUCUUUGCAACCAACUGGGAGUUUGUUUCUCUGCAGGAUCUGGCAGCACAAGAAGUUCAAGGCUUUCCUUAAGAGUGAGAGGACCAAAAGCUCAUAGUGUUGAUGCAGGUAACAGUCGGGAAAAGAGCCUUGAUUUCAUUCAUAUCCGAGGGCAGGGCUCGGCCCCUGGGAUUUUUGUAUUGCCUCAGCUUCCUGAUCUCCGGAUGUAGCUGGACUACAACAACUCUCCACCGGCCAGGGAUUAUGGGAGCUGUUUAGUCCAAAUCAUCUGAAGGGCACCAGGUUCAUGAAGCAUGCCCUAAAUAACUUAUCUUCUUCUCUGGGAUGGUCCAUACCCUCUAGGGUUGCCCAAUGCAACAGGUUGUUAGAGUCAACUUCUAUUGUACUUUGCUCCCAGACAGUGAGAUGUGUUGGUGUGUAUGGCACUGGUAGGCAAAAUGAACAACCUUUACUCUAGAUGGGGUAACAUGUGGUUCGUCAGCUGUAGUUGGGACUCCAGCUACCAUCAGCUGCAGCUGGUAUGGCCAUUGUUUAUGAGGAUGGAAGAUGCAGUCUAGCAACAUCUGGAAGGCCACCGGUUCCACAUCCCUGCUCUAGAACAAAGCCACUGAAUUUCAUGGGGCUACUGGAGAGUAAAAAUAAAAGGCUGUCGCUGGAAGACUUGGACCUGGAAAAUCCCUGUACUGGAAAUCCUGUCUAAGUAAAAAUUUCAGGAGGCCUUGAAGUCUUUUCUUCCUCCCCACCCUGCCUAAGCUUUACUGGGAGUAUCAAUGAAUGAGACUUCUUCCAUCCGGUUGUUGUGAUGGUGCAUGAGAUCACUGCUAUAAAGCACUUUGCAGACUUUUGUAACCUUCCACAUCCCCCAAAGUUGGAUGGAAAUUAGUGGAGGACAAGAUCCAAACCAUUUGAUGGCUGUUUUGCUAUACCUUAAAAUUCCCCCUUUCUUUGCUCAUUCCGUAGUAUACUCAUCUGAACCCAGAAUUACUAUUGAUGCCAUUAGCCAUCCAUUUAUUUAUACUCUGUACGCUAAGCACGUUUAGCUGGAAGCAAAACUCAAAGACUUCAGUGGAACUUGCUUCUAAGUACUGUAUAGUACAUGUGCUGUCGAUAGGAGCAUUGCCGAGUUUAUCAGUCCCCCUUGUUCUUAAAGGUUUAAGGUGAAUUUAAAAAGCCCGUCGACUGAAACGUUUCCUGCCAAGCCUCAUCCAAACAGAACCCAUCGCAUUAAUCUGGGUGGAAUUUACGCACGAGAACUUCUCAACGGAUUGCGCUCUGCAUAAAUUGAAGCUCCCAGAUGGAAAGAGUUCUAUAUUAUUAAGGAAGAAGUAGAGAUAUUGUCAAAGCUGUACUUAAAGCUGUGUAACGAACUGAAUGUGUUAAGAGUUAUCCUAUAAAAAGAAAAAUAACUGCUCUCGAGUAAGUGCAUUGUGUUUUGCAGGUUGGGCACUCUGCUCCUAAAUGCUCUCCUAGACACCCCAAGUAAACCCGACUGGCCACAAAUAAAUAUCAGUGGGAUUUAUUUUCAGUUAAAUGGUUUUGGGUCUGGGAAGGAAGACACCGUCAAAUGGAUCUGGAGUAUUAUGGUUUUGACUGUAGGACUGUCGCUGUCCCUUUACUGCCGAUAUUUCUCACCUCAACGAAAAUAAAUGUGUUUUUCAAACUCCAGAUAAUCCCUACAAAGAGUUACUGCUUUAAUAAACAGGAAUUUAAAAAUCUGUGACCUUCUGGUGUAACAGCUUGCUGCAGGCGACCAUAUUUCUAUAAAAAAAUAAUGAGACGGGGUGUGUUCAGAAGUACUGUUACUUCAUCCGCACGUUCAGUUCUUGCAAUGACCGAGGGCGACUAACAGUUCACAGGAAAUAUUGUGGAAUCUCCAUCAAACAUGACAAAAAAACACGAAGUAACCAAAUCUUCCUUUGGAAUGCUUUAAGCGACUAUAAACACACUGAAAACGCGAUGCAACACAAGAUCAACACUGGCAAAGCUGCUAAUUCUCAUAUGACUCAAUCUCGUCUGUUGCUUUACCGCUCUCGUAUGCUGAAAUAAUUUUUAUUUUGAAAUAAACUGUAAUCAGGAUCGGGAAGGAUCAGUUUAACAAGUAUGGAACAUUCUGGAGCUCUGAAAAGACACAACACAUACCUGUCUAAGUACAAGGAGAGUUUAUAUCUGAAAUCCCUAUUGGCUGAAAGUCGGGAUGUAGCUUUGUCUGCAAUCCUGAGUCCAGUUAGGUUUCGAUCCCGUUACCUUCGCUGCUAUUCCAGCAGCCACACUAUUACAUAAUUAAUUUUAACCAACACAUAUUCUGAGUUAAGCAGCACACGAUCACAUCAUAUUUUUAUAUGCCAGACAUUUGUAUCUAUCUAGAAGGUGACACCUUAACUUUUGAUAAAUGGAUGGAUUGCUAUGGCGUUGUUACAGUUGUGCCCAAUCUCCAUUAAUGUACUUAUGUAAAUAAUUAUGGCUGGUGUUGCAAUGCUUAUAAAUCCUAAGGGUGCAUUUUUUAAAGUGACUGGGGCAGGAUGGAUGGUUAGAUGGUUGGGAGAGCAACCCCAUCUCUGGAUGAGGAUGAGGAUGAUUAAUCCAGCCUUUAACCUGAAGGUUCCCAGGGUAGUGCAGAAACAAUUCAUUAAAAUCAAAGCAACUGAAAUCCAUAAAACCAUAUGGCGCCCCUACCUUCCCAGCAGUCAUGGAGCC